CACACUGUAAACGAUGAUAACUCGCUGCCGGCGAUACAUUGUUGGUGGCCAAGCGAAAGCAUUAAGUUAUCCACCUGGGGAGUACGACCGCAAGGUUGAAACUCAAAGGAAUUGACGGGGGCCCGCACAAGCGGAGGAACAUGUGGUUUAAUUCGAUGAUACGCGAGGAACCUUACCCGGGCUUGAAAUGCAUCUGACCGGCAAAGAGAUUUGCUUUUUCCUCGGAACGGAUGCGUAGGUGC
rnacentral:rRNA from 1 species